GCGGCCGUCGCAGGCGCUGCGGUUGCAAGGCGGUUGCGAGGACUGAGCUGCAUGGGAGGGGAGGUGGCACUGCGUGGGGAAGGGGCGAGGGAAAAGACCUGGAGCCGGCUGCCCGCCCCCGAGGAGCGGGGGUGGCUCAAUCCGUCGUGUCUAGGUCGUGCUGGUGAGGCUUGGCGCCUGACAGAACUGUGCUGUGGGCUGUCAGGGCAGUGAGAAGCAGCAGCCUGCCUUAGGGUCGGGGCUGGUUCAUCCCUGGCUAAUAACCUGGGAUAUGCGAGGCGUUCCUAAAGAGCAAAGGGCAAGGGAAGUUGGAGGCGAACUUUUGCAUAUUUCUCUCAUCCGAAAUAACUGAUGCUCCUAGACGGGGGCGGGGAAAGUCUGGAAACAAUCGAGGUGGGGUUUUUGUGUACUGGUUACCAAAGGACACGGCAUAAGGAAAGGAAGUGUAAAUCCCCUGCGUUCUGUGCUACAGCUUACACCAAUAUUAAAUCAUGCAUUCUUUCCUACAAGCAAAUCCCCGAAACAGAUACAGUACAAGUUCACAAAGUUUAAAAAAAUAAGUGACGCUAGUUUUGUAAAACUUAAAAAUCUCUUACUGAUCUCAUUCCAGGAGGAAAGAAAGCAACAAAAGGAAACGCUUUUUCAGUGUGAGAAAUGUGUACUCAACCAUCAAAAAAUGAAUAGGUAUGCUGGUGGCAGGAAGAGUCCAUUCUGUUCCUACAGGGAGCGUUUAUUGCGCCGGGUUGUGAGCCAGCUGAAGGGAGCAGCUUCACUCCUUGUAAUCUCUCUGUCGAGCUCCGAGCAAUGUACGGACUCCUGCUGCUAGAGCUUGCACAGGCUGUGUCACCGCUGCAAAAGAGGGCUGGUUGCGAGGCGACUGCAUUGCUCCACUGGGGAGUUAUGCCAGCCCCACUAGCUCGGCGCUCUGCUCUGCCAAAGAGAAGUUUGCCGGCUGCUUGAGUGGCAAUGAGAUGAAACCUGCAGGUAGACGCUGCUGGUUGGAUGGGAAUUUUUUACUCAUAAAAUCUGAAAAAUGUGUUCAGAACUAAGUUUUACUCUUUCCUUCCUCCCCCUGUAAUGCGAGAGAAACGUCUAGUAUGUGCUGUUAAAAAAAGUGAAUUUUUCAAAUUAAAUUAUGAAGGAUGGAAUAAUUAAUACUAUCUGGACUGUAUUGUGAACCUACUGUAGUGAACCUGCUUUAUUAGAGGGUUGGACUAGAUGGUCUCCAGAGAUCCCUUGCAACUCCUACAGUUCUGUGAUGCAGAUAAUUGUUGCUCGCUCAAUGUAAGGUCUUGCAUAUAUGCAUUUUUCUAAAGGUGUGAAAGCCUUUUUUUCCCCUCCUAUAUGCAUGGGUAAAUGCGUACCCAUUUUAUGGCCAUCUAGUUGCACUGCUGAAGAUAAUCCCAGUGUAGAUGAACUGCAAUGCAAUCCAGCUCCGUACUGUGAGAACUGUAUCUUAGUAAUACAGGCUUGUUGUUGUUGUUGUUGUUGUUUUUCCCUUUCCAUCUUUUCUCUUGCAGUUUAGUCCAGAAUAAAAUUCCUGUUGAUUUUGAGACUUUGCUUUUGAAAAGGCAGGUGGAAAUUGCUGGGAUGCAAUUUUGUUGUGAUACAAUUUGACUUUGCCCCUUCGAGGGCGGUUCCUGCAGUACUUUGCUCUAGUCUUGGUGAAUUCUUCAGCGUGGAGAGGGGCUGAAGGAAACUGCAUUUGCCUAUUUUGCUUGGAGAAAUUAAUCAGAACUGCUGCAAGGAUCACGCUGAGCUGUCCUCACAAGGCUGCUUAAGAAACAAGGAAGCUCUUGAUACUGCUUUCAAGGAAAGGAAGAGCAGCCACACAGAAUGUUGAAAAGGUCAAGGCUUAUGCAUUGUGUGCAGACAAUUCUGAUGUUGGGAGACUGCAAGAUUUGUUGUUUCAACAGUAAGCUGGAGAUCAGUGUAAGGAGUUUGAUAAUCAAGAGACUGGCCUAAAUAUUACUUACGAAAAAAGAAGUAUGUGUAUAUGUGGUUUUGCUCCUUGUUGCCUUUCUGAGGCUGGCAGCGCUGUUUCUUUUUGUAAAAGCACUUCUAAGACGGAUAAGCAUUAUAUCUAAAUUCAAAAGCCUGGCUUAAAGAAAUUGGAAACAGGUUUCAGCUUAUUGUAUUGGCAAAGGCACACCACCUGGGAGGAAAAAAGAAAAGCCUGUGAAGAUUACUGGGAAGACUAGCAGGACAUUUGAGGGAGAGAACACUGCACAGUGCUCUGAUGUAGACCUGGCGAAUUAUAUAGCUGCUAUGGAGACAGUAGAUAAACUGUAUAAUUUACAGUUCUCCAUCAGCUUGACAGACUGAGUUUGGAUUUAUCGAGUUGAAAAAAAGGACAAUAAAGCUUCAGUUCAGACUGGGGCUAUUGGCUCCUGCAAUCUUACAGGUACUCAGCUUCUUAACAUUUAAGAGUGUGAGUGAAAAAAGGUAUACUGAGUUGUGGGCUAUGGCUGUGGACUCUGAGUUGGACCUGCAGUCAUUAUAUAGCUUGGUUCUGUGCCUGCUGAGCAAUGCCUGAGCUGGAGAAAUGCUUUGGGAACCAUGGUUGGAAUCUAAGGAUGGGGCUCCAUGUCCACCUGCACCACUCAGAGGCUGAGGUCAUGCAUGUGAAGACAGAUGGCAGCACAAAUGGUUGGGGAAACAUCUUUGAGCAUCCCUAACUGCAUCUGACAGGAACUCCCCUGCAGGUUGGCCCACAUGUAGAAGUUCAAGCCCUUCAGACCCAUCUCUGAAACUGAUGGGAAUCUCUCUAUAGUGAACGCUUCCUGUAAGGCUGCAGGAGCUGGAGUGAGAAACAUGUGUCCAUAUGCUGGUGGAAGCGUCCACCCUACUGCAGAGCCAGGCCCUUUGGCUGAAGCAGUGUAGAGAUGGGUGUCAUGGGAGUCAUUCCUCUCAGCCUACAGCAGACCAGAUGAACUUACUUCUCCACGUUUUUCACUCCCAGGUAUCCAAAAGGACAUCACCCGGUGUUUUAUUUGCUCAGUCAAUUUGAGCAGAGAUCAAACAUUGAUCUUUCCAAGAAGAUAGAAAACCACGGCUUUGUCAAGUGUGACUAAAUAGGAAGUUACGAUGGCAACAGCUGCUCAGUCUGACCUCUCGUGCACACGGUGAGCCAGAGCCACACAGAACAUAGCAUGCUGCACGUGUCACAAAGAGCCUCUCAGGUUGGAUGGAUGCUCAACCUCACCUGGAGCACUGGUUGCAGAAAAAGCACUUAAAAAUAAUGGGUGCUAUUUUGAAAAGACUCUCAAGCACUACGUGAGGAUUUCCUUUUGAUUAUACAUCUGACUGUCGUGUACCAUUCUGCCUUGGAUUCUAUGGAAAAAAAAAAUCAAUAAGGAUUCCUGUACAGAAGAUUUUACUCUGAAAGAAGUCUUCACAGAGAUGUCCAUCCCAGUCUUUAAACCAGACCCACCAAGUAUGGGAUGGAAGCAAGCUCCUUAUAGCCUACGUUAUACCAAUCUAGGCAGCAUCUAAUCAAAGAAUGUAAAACUCCACAGCUCUCAUCCAUCACAACUGCAGAGGAAAUACCAUCUCCAAAGGAAUCACUGGUGAGCCUGUAUCCCAUCCACACAUGUCCAGGAAUGUAAUAUACUUCACUCAGUGUAUGAUAGCAAUUAAAGAAAACAAAAUAACCCUUGGGUCCCAGAAAGAAUUCACAGAAAAUAACACAGAGAAACACCUACGUGCCCAUCCUUCCAUCUUAAUCCUUCUGUCCUGAUCCUCAGAAGAAAUCUGAAGAUGAGCCUGGGAAGCAUGGGCUCCCCAUACUGCGAUACAGAGACUUAGCAGGGAGAUAUUUCUAACGUUUUAUAAUCUCUGUUCAUCACAGUUAACCUCCCUCCUUUUUACGCCAGAUAAAAUACAAGAGUGAAUAUUAGCAAUCAGAAAUUUAGAUGGCCUUUCAUGAAUGCAUGCUAAAAAGGAUGAAAAAAUUAACAACGUAUUUUCUCUUCUCUGCUACGGUUGAUUAAUAUAAUGUGCUUAAUAAUAUAGUCUCUGUAUGUAUGUAUGCAUGUAUUAUAUAGUUUGGUAUACUAUAUAAUAUAUAGUCUCCAAAGGUGUUCCGAUCUGUCUUCAAGAGAGUUACAGCAGAAAUCCUCAAUUUCUGAGCUACAAUUUUUGUCAUUAAGUCAGAGAUUACAUGCUUACAAUACAAUAUUCCUUCCAGAAAUAGUUAAAGAGAACUUUUUCCCCCCAGUUUGCAAUGGAUUUGAGUUAAUUAGGUACUUCUCCCAGAUAAUAAGAUUUAAUGUGACUUAAAAUACUUGAUUCUGAGUUUUACCAAUGAGAACAAACAGUUUUGAAGGAUGGUCUUUGACCGACCAUUAAAAGUAAGUUAAUAAAAAGUAUCAACCACAUGUUGGGGGUGGGAAGUAAAACCUUGAUGAUUUUUUCACAUAUAUGAGUUUGAGUUGUGGCUUCCAUUAUAAUUCUUGUAAGCUCUAUCAGCAUCCAGAUUUAGCAGCCUUAAGGCAACUCCAAGACGUUACAUCUGAAAAUGUUUGUAUCACAACAAGCCCCAUGUUCCCUGGGUCCAGUCUACAUUUCAUACAUUUAUUUUAAAAAAAUACUAAAGAAUAAAUUUAUAUGUAGCUUCAAUAACAACUUGGACCCCAAAUGUUCAAAGUACACAUAAACAAGAGUCAUUCUGUAGUUUCUGAUGGAAAGAAUUAAGCUUUUGAAGCAGUAAAACAAGGAAUAAUGCUCGACUGAAGUCAAAGAGUAGCCAUCUUCAGGUGCAGGACAGUUACUCGAUGGGAAGACCAGCCAUUUCCAGAACAGCAGACCAAUCUUCAAAUCAUAUAAAUGCCCAUGAGCACUAAAUGAAGGGCAUAAACUUGUCUGUAUCAAACAGCUGUUUGCUGUUAGGAUGAGCAUUCUCAAGUACUGAGUAGGUAAUAUUCGGACAGUGUGCCCCAUUGUUUAGGAUAAGCUAAAGAGACUGUACUCUGGAAAUAAUUGUUUCUGCUCAGACUCCUAGUAUCACAUCUAAUUUCUCACCCUAUCUUUCUCUCCCAGUAGCUACAGUGGCACCUCAUUUAUGUCUGGUACAACAGAUAAGUGGUUGUCAUCAAACCCACAAUAUGAAUUACUCAUUAUAUCUGCUCUCAGAAUACUUCAGAAGCUCGGGACAGUGUGUUUCUCUUUCUCUGGACCGAGCAGUUUGUAAUACACUUGCUGUCUGCUUGCUGACUAAGGGAAAUGUGAAUUCCAGGCUUCCUCCAGCCCUGACCACAGGCGCUGGCUUGCUAGCAUGCUCCUUGUUCAUCUUGCUUACUACUACAAAACUCAAUUCUGUCUACACAUCCUACUUUCUGAGGACCCAAAUUACGUACCACCAAAUGAUUGCAUCCUGAAAGCUAUGUUUAUACUCUUGGAGGGUAGUGGAGGGUAAUGCAGUGAGGUGGGUCAUGCUCAGGGGAUGUCCACUUUCCCUCAUGUGUAAACUAUUGGUCAACAUGUUAAGAGCCUAAUUUUUGCUUUGAAGUAGAGAGAGCCUUAUGAAUGGUUUGGACUAUUACGUACGGUUUAGAUCUGUGCUAAACAGCAAUCAGCUGCAGUCUUUCGGCCACGUGUUUUUGAUACUACUAACAUUCCUUGAAGUAAGGAAAACUGAAGAAAAACUUUGAAGUCUGCCAUUGCUCAAUGAGAUUAAUACUACUGAUGGCAUUAACCUACGCACAUCAGUCAGGAUAUUCACUUGAGAAUAGCAAGGAAUUGGUCUUUUGCAAUGCUUUAUAGUCACAGACUUAAAUCUCUAAGAGCUGAGGGCUUUUUAUAGUUCAUCUACUAUAAAUGUUUGUUAGCAGGGGAAAAAAACAAACACAACAGUCUGAAUGAUUUACAAUUUUUCUGUCAUUUCAGAAAACAAACAAUUAACUACUUUGUCUCCAAGAAGCUAAAAAUGCUUUGUUGUUUUUGUUGCUUGUUUUUUGUUUGGUUUUGGUUAUUCUGUUAAAGAUGAACCGUAAAGAGCCCUCAGUUCUUAGGGUUUUAAUCUGUGACCCCUAAAAGUGCAGUAUUACUCUUGCAUGUUAAAGUGCAAACACAGGAAAAGGCUAAAAAGUAAAAAGAGUCAGAAAUCUGACCCUCAUUUUAACUUAUGAAGUAACUAGUAGUAAGUUUAAAGUAGAACUCCAGUAGUUUAGAUUUGCAAUAGAAUAGUAACUUGUUGGGGUCACAUUUGUCCAUUUGGUCUCAAUUUGAAUUUGAGUGCAGUGCAAAAGAUAGAAGUAGUGAUAAACCAGUUGGACUUUCACAAAGUAAUACUUGAUAUUCAGAAAGGCAACAUACAGAGAUAAAUUCUUGUUUACAGCAUGAACUUUGUGUCUCCCCUUGAGGUUAUUUCAAUAUAUAGAGAUCUUGUAUUACAUUUACUUUCUCAAACUAAAAUGUUAAAAACUAAAUGGAAAGGGAUUAGUGCCCUGAGAAAAAGCAGACUGCCUAUGGAUGACAAAGGGUCUACUUAUGUUUUGUUUCAAAAGACCAAGUGAUAUCUCUAGUAAAAACAGACGAGCUUUGAUGCAUACAAGCCCAUUUUCAGAUCUAAUAAAAGAUACUACCUCUCCUUGCAAGUUUUGGCUUUCUUACAGCCUGAUACUGUUCUGGCUACAAGGACAGUGAUAUUGCUCAAACAACACUGUUGCUGCCAUUCACCUCCUGGGUUAAAAACACUGUUAGUAUUUUUCAGUUAGUGUUAGAAGUUCCAGGAGGAGCCACUUCAUAUUUAUCACACAUUUUAAAGGCAUGUAAUCUCUCAGAAAUGCUAUCGAGCUACACAAAAUACAAUUUGGCAUAAAGCUAAUCUGUGUUAUGUUAUGAAAUGACCUGCACAGUGAAAUAAUGGAAUAUACAAACAAUUGCAGUCUUUACAAAUCAUCAGUGUAAAACUGAAAUUUCCUUACUGUUACUGUUUUGUGAAAAGACAAAUAAUCAUGUUUUAGGGAUUUAUUAUUAUUAUUAUUAUUUGCAAUGGCAAUUAUUUUAUAGAUAACUGACGAUAAGACAUAGCUAAGAAAAGCUUCUGCUUAAAGAAGAAAGGAGUGGAGGAACAAACAUGUAAGUGAAGGUUCCAAACUCCUACUGUUCUGCAUGAUGCACUGUUAAAUUCCUCUUUGAACUGAAACAAAUAAACAAACAAAACAAAAAAAC